rnacentral:snoRNA from 1 species
AAGUCAGGCAAAUGAAUCUGCUUACCUAAAUAUGUUUCUGCAUAAACUUCUUAAAAGCUAGCAAUAGGAAAGCCAUGUUACUAGACUUAAGGACACAGAAGUUGUGGAGGUCCCUGAAAAAGUCUAUAAGA